rnacentral:tRNA from 1 species
GAGGGUAUAGCUCAGUGGUAGAGCACAUGCUUAGCGUUCCCAAGGUCCUGGGUUCGAUCCCCAGUACCUCCA